GCAUAUCAAUAAGCGGAGGAAAAAGAAACCAACAGGGAUUGCCCUAGUAACGGCGAGUGAAGCGGCAACAGCUCAAAUUUGAAAUCUGGCUCUCGGGCCCGAGUUGUAAUUUGUAGAGGAUACUUUUGAUGCGGUGCCUUCCGAGUUCCCUGGAACGGGACGCCAUAGAGGGUGAGAGCCCCGUCUGGUUGGAUGCCAAAUCUCUGUAAAGUUCCUUCAACGAGUCGAGUAGUUUGGGAAUGCUGCUCUAAAUGGGAGGUAUAUGUCUUCUAAAGCUAAAUACCGGCCAGAGACCGAUAGCGCACAAGUAGAGUGAUCGAAAGAUGAAAAGCACUUUGAAAAGAGAGUUAAAAAGUACGUGAAAUUGUUGAAAGGGAAGCGUUUAUGACCAGACUUGGGCUUGGUUAAUCAUCUGGGGUUCUCCCCAGUGCACUUUUCCAGUCCAGGCCAGCAUCAGUUUUCCCCGGGGGAUAAAGGCGGCGGGAAUGUGGCUCUCUUCGGGGAGUGUUAUAGCCCACCGUGUAAUACCCUGGGGGGGACUGAGGUUCGCGCAUCUGCAAGGAUGCUGGCGUAAUGGUCAUCAACGACCCGUCUUGAAACACGGACCAAGGAGUCGUCUUCGUAUGCGAGUGUUCGGGUGUCAAACCCCUACGCGUAAUGAAAGUGAACGCAGGUGAGAGCUUCGGCGCAUCAUCGACCGAUCCUGAUGUUCUCGGAUGGAUUUGAGUAAGAGCAUACGGGGCCGGACCCGAAAGAAGGUGAACUAUGCCUGUAUAGGGUGAAGCCAGAGGAAACUCUGGUGGAGGCUCGCAGCGGUUCUGACGUGCAAAUCGAUCGUCAAAUAUGGGCAUGGGGGCGAAAGACUAAUCGAACCUUCUAGUAGCUGGUUUCCGCCGAAG
rnacentral:rRNA from 1 species